AUACGUGGGGAGCAAGCGUUGUUCGGAUUUACUGGGCGUAAAGAGCUCGUAGGCGGGUGUGUAAGUCGGAUGUGAAAUCCUCUGGCUCAACCAGAGAAUUGCACCCGAAACUGCACAUCUUGAGUUCAGCAGAGGGAAUCGGAAUCACUUGUGUAGCGGUGAAAUGCGUAGAGAUAAGUGAGAACACCAGUGGCGAAGGCGGAUUCCUGGGCUGACACUGACGCUGAGGAGCGAAAGCUGGGGGAGCGAACAGGAUUAGAAACCCCGGUAGUCC
rnacentral:rRNA from 1 species